GUAGUUGUGGCUGUGUGGUGAAGGCGAUGGACUAGAAAUCCAUUGGGGUUUCCCCGUGCAAUUUUGAAUCCUGCCAACUACA
rnacentral:tRNA from 1 species